rnacentral:rRNA from 1 species
UACGGAGGGAGCUAGCGUUGUUCGGAAUUACUGGGCGUAAAGCGCACGUAGGCGGCUUUGUAAGUUAGAGGUGAAAGCCCGGGGCUCAACUCCGGAACUGCCUUUAAGACUGCAUCGCUUGAAUCCGGGAGAGGUGAGUGGAAUUCCGAGUGUAGAGGUGAAAUUCGUAGAUAUUCGGAAGAACACCAGUGGCGAAGGCGGCUCACUGGACCGGCAUUGACGCUGAGGAGCGAAAGCUAGGGGAGCAAACGGG